rnacentral:rRNA from 1 species
GACAGAGGGUGCAAACGUUGUUCGGAAUUACUGGGCGUAAAGUGCGUGUAGGCUGCUCUGCAAGUCGGGCGUGAAAUCCCUGGGCUCAACCCAGGAACUGCACUCGAAACUACUUUUCUUGAGUGCCGGAGAGGAAAGCGGAAUUCCUGGUGUAGAGGUGAAAUUCGUAGAUAUCAGGAGGAACACCAGUGGCGAAGGCGGCUUUCUGGACGGUAACUGACGCUGAGACGCGAAAGCGUGGGGAGCAAACAGG